AACGCACAUGGCACUUGUCACCUCGGUGGCAAGUAUACCUGUUUGAGAAUCGGUUCCAAUCCUGGCAUCGCCUUGAUGCCGACAUGACUGCGUCUCCUCGAGUCGAGGAGUCAGUUCAAAUGCAGACGAGUGGGGCUGGCGAGACCGUGCGUCUGCGCCGUGUGGUAAUGGACUUACACGUCCUCGAGCACGGAUGCAACGUGGGCGCGCAAUGUCGAGGCAGCACGCAAACCGACUUGAAGUGGUGCAAACCCGUACGGAUGGAAGGCCGUGAUCAACGAUCUCAAAUCAGGCAAGGCUACCCGCUGAACUUAA
rnacentral:misc_RNA from 1 species